UCCCAUUUGGGGCUGUCUCGCUUGGCCGAGCCGUGCGACAUGUCGGUUCCUUUAAAUAGACUAAUAGUGACCCGACUAAACAGCAACAAGUGGAUGGGAUCGGAUCGCUUGAGACAGGAGAGGUUACUGCUGAGUCAUGCUGACUCUGGAUGUCUUAUGAUUCAUUCUGGCAGCACUGGAUCGCCUGGGCUAUUCGCUUGAGGUCUGAUGGGAUGAUGAGAACACUGUCAGAGGUCUGUUCUGUUUCACCUGCAGGUCUCUACCCGUUCUGCAUGAACAUUUACGAUUUCGACAUGCAGGGAGCUUUGGUUAAGCACAGAUACAGGCGGCCCCGUUUUGUCAAGGUUACCUAAAUGUGCUGCCGGUCACGCUAGAAGCGCGUGGAGGCACUGAACGCGUGGAGGCCGGAUCCCGUCCUCAGGUUCAAGGGAAGCUUUUGUUUAUUUGGUCCCGAGAAUCACUGGGAAUGGCUGUGUUACAGGGCAUGCAUCCAUCCAUCCAUCCAUCCAUCAUGGUCAGGGUUUGCGGGGGAUGGGAUGGGUGGAGCCUAUCCUAGGCAGCACGGGGCACAAAGCCGGGGACAGCCUGGAGUUCCAUUUCAAUGCAAGGCCAUCUUAUCAGUAUUUACUACACUAUAUUAACUUAAAUGAUUCAUGGAGCCAUUCUGUGCAUCACAUUAUAAACAAAUUACUGAAGGAAUUACAUUAGCUGUAAUUGGUGCACUAUAAUAAAUUGGGAGACGGAUCCAACUGACUUCUGCAGCAGAAAACAUGGUUAUGAGAUACAAAACUAUGACCUGUUACCAGGCACUGGUUGACACAGUUCUCCAGUGCUCUCCAUGUGGCCCUAGGGUACAGCUGCAGAAUUACAGGGGUUAACCAGGUAUGUCACAUUAGAACUGAAGCAUUCUGGGUAGAGGUCCUGGAGUGGGUGGAGCAGAACCUGAUUAAACUUUUGGAGUGACAAUGUUAAUUAAUAACUAAUUUAUGGUAUGACAGCAUAGUGUAAUUAUGUAUAUAAUAUCAAUUAUUACUUCUGCAAACAAAAGCAAAGAUGAAGGUUACUUUUUAAGCUGAAUAAUUAACAUGUUGUGUAUGUUUCAUCAUGUUUAAUUAACGUAAGAUUACAGAACAACUAAAUAACACAUUCUGUAUGUUCAGUUAUAAUCAACAUAAGGAAUACCAGUGUAGUUCAUUUUGCAGUAAAUGUUUUUAAGACGCAAAAGGAGAAUAAUGUUUUUGAAGUUGUAAUAAGUGAUUUUGGCAAUAUGGUCGUAUUUGUGUAAAAUCAGCAUGACUGGUGGAAGAUUGGGGCUGACUUAGUAAGAAUAUCCAAAUUCCAUAGUGAUGUUUUUAAGAUAUAGAAUCACGCUGUGAUAAGAAGAGUACCAGGCUCUGCUCAGUGGAGAUUAUGGCUUUCACACCCCCGGUGGGUGGGAUUAUAACGUGCUGUUAAUCAUCGCCAUGUUUUUUUUCAAUUGCCGCUUCUCAUUGGUCACCGUAUUGCCCCCCCAUUGGGUGAAACCAGGCAGUAAUUGAUAGCAUACAUUAAUCUCACCUCCUGUGGGUUUCAAAGGUUAAUUUCUCCCAUGAGGCAUAACAGGAAAUUGGUGAUGCCUGUUCUGGACCACAGAGAACUACUGAAGAUACCUGAGAAAGGCGUGGACACUUUCGGGAAAGUUUUUAGCUUCCCUUGUCUCUUGGACUGGGAGCCCAGCCUUGGUGCUGGAGCUCCUCCUCUCUGUGGUGUUAGAGCACAUGUCGGCUCACGCCAGACACGAUACACCUGAGCGCCAGCACAUGGUGUCGGUGGACCCUGACUCGUCAUGGAGAAGCAAAGCCAGCUCUCAGCCUCCAGGCGUCCUGUGUGCAGCGGCAUGCCUGUGGCUAUUGUUCAGCCCGGGACUUCACACAGCCGCCUUUGUUCUUGGGGUUUAUUGGAUUUCAGGGGAGGAGAAAGGAAAAAAUGGGCUGGGCAGCGCAAAAUGGAGCAUCUGUGAGUUGGUGACGCACCCCAGGUACCAACAGAAGUCAGAAGUGUGGCAGCAUGGUGUAAGGAGACAGGAGCUGGUUAACCACUGUGCAGGAGGGCGAUCCAGUUAACCACUGUGCAGAAGGGCGAUCCAGUUAACCACUGUGCAGGAGGGCGAUCCAGUUAACCACUGUGCAGGAGGGCGAUCCAGUUAACCACUGUGCAGGAGGGCAGCCCAGUUAACCACUGUGCAGGAGGGCGAUCCAGUUAACCACUGUGCAAGAGGGCAGUCCAGUUAACCACUGUGCAGGAGGGCAGUUCAGGUAACCACUGUGCAGGAGGGAAGUCCAGUUAACCACUGUGCAGGAGGGAAGUCCAGAUAGCCACCACAAUGAAUACAGCACAAUGUAGGUCCAACUCAGCUGUGCAGUAGAUGCAGAUCAAUGUGACAUGGCUACAGGUGCAUAGAGCACCAGUCCUGAAUAAGACUGCUAUGUGGAACUGGUACCAGGUUCAUAGUAGGCCUAAGUAGCUGAGAAGAGAUCUGGAGAUUCUUAUCUUAGGGAGUUUGCCUUUUAAUUGCAGCUGCCUUUUCUGUGCUGAUGGAAGAAGGAUGCUUGGUUUAGAACCAGUCUGGACUUGUCACAUUAAUUAUCAAUGUGUUUAUCAACAUCCGUUGAGAGGCAACAUGCUUAGUGCCGGCAGAUCCUUCAGGUCCUCGGCAGCUGGCAAAGGGUUAAAUCGAGCAGCCUGGGCUCUAAAAAAUGUUCAGCUUAACAACUUUAUAGGGAGACAUUAGAUUCUGCACAAAACAUAGGAGUCAUGCACUGCUGUUGGCCAUUUGGUACAGGAUUCCCAACAUGCUGGAUGUUGAUACAGCUGUGGCUCUAGCACACAACACACUGUACAGGCGUGUAAACUGACCUAUGUUGAAUACAGGAUGGCAUGAAGGAGACACAGGAGUGUUAGAUUAGCCGUGCAGCUCUUUACUGGACCUGUUAGAUCUAGUCAAGGAUAAGCUGUUGUUCCACACUCUUUUGAAAAUGUUUUACAUUCCAUGAGAGUAAUUGCUUGUGGAACACAGCCAUAUUUUCAAUGCUCUUGAUUUACUGGAUGUUUACUUUGGCAUGUUGGGCUAAAGCACGCUUUGUGCAGGAUUCCACUCCCACGCCUGCUGGGAGUUCUGGGAACACACACACACACACACAUAUACACAUGCACGUGUACUGUAGAGGAUAUAAGAGGCAUUUGUGAUGUGUCUAAGUGCAAGUAUCUGAAGCAUGCCUUCUACAGAUCCUUCUCUGCUGCCUGAAGUCGAAUUAUCAACAAACUCAACAUUAUCAGCAAAGCCUACCAGGGAAGAGAGGUUUUGCUCAACUAAAGGCCUGAUGAUGUUCUUGUUUUUUAUCUUAUAUUCCACAUGUGGACAAGGCCAACAAAUCCUACUGCAUUUCCAACCAAGCUGACAGUAACCACUACAAACACAGCACUGCAGUGCAAAAACUCUCACUAAGCCAGUGGAAACUAUGUUUAAAUUAUGUUUAUGUUGGUAUAAAAUGAUGACUUUAUGACCAUCAAAGUGUCAGCUUAGCUAUUUUAAAAUCUCUUGUCAAGUCACCCAUGUAUUUUCAGUUACCAUCCAAUAUAUCCAAGUGUUUGAUGAACUCACCCACUAGAACAGAUUGUUAGGGUAAUCAAUGCUUAAUGAAUCCACUAAUUAAGUUAAUUAAUUAAAUGAAUUGUUGGUGAAAUUUAGAUAAACACACGGAUUGGCCCACCGAGAAAUAGUUUUGUGAACUAUAGCUCUACUCCUCUUGUCAUUCAAUGAGAUAUCAGUGGCAUUUUGGAGAUCAGAAGAAAUUCUUCUAUUUUUUAUUUUAUUACAGUUUUUUUAUAUAUAUAUAUAUAUAUUGGAGGACAAGAACACCAACGUACAAUUGCUGUUUGUUGAUUUUAGCUCAGCGUUCAAUACAAUCAUCCCCCAGCAGCUGGUGCGUCACUGGGUACCAGUAUGCCCAUGUGUAACUGGCUGCUGGACUUCCUCAGUGGCAAACCACAGUCAGUGAACAUCAUCUCCAGCUCCAUCUCUCUCUCCAUCGGUUCCCCUCAGGGCCGAGUGGCUCUGUUGUUCACGUUGCUGACUCAGGACUGCUGUGCUGCAUCUGCCUCGAAUUACAUCAUAAAAUACGCGGAUGACACAACAGUGGUGGGUCUCAUUAGGAACGACAGCGACCUGCCCUAUAGAGAGGAGGUGAAGCGACUGGUGGGAUGGUGCAGUGACAACGACCUGAUGCUGAAUGAUGAGAAGACCAAGGAGAUGAUCAUUGACUUCAGGAGGAAAUCCAUCCAGGACAUUGCACUCAAACGAUGUCUCAGCAGAGCCUGUGACAUCAUCGGAGACUCCGCCCACCCCCACCACGGACCGUUCUCCCUGCUGCCCUCUGGGAAGAGGCUUUGCAGCAUCAUAUACUGCAAAUUUGUCUUGCACUAUAACUGAAACGGUGAUGUACACUGGUUUUUGCUGCUAUACUGCGGUUAAUAUAUUUUUAUGUUAGUUCCACGUGUAUUCUAUUUCCUAUCUAUUCUCUAUUUAGACUCUAUAUUUUUAAGUUUAAGUUUUUUCUAGUAUAAACAGUGAUUAAUUUAUUUAUUUUAUAUUCAAUCACAUUAUAAUUUGUAUAUUAUAUAUAAUUACAUAUAAUUAUAAUAUGUUGUUAUUGUGUAUAUAUAUAUAGACUAUAAUAGACUAUAAUAUACUUUGUAUAUUCCUUAAAUAGCUAAAUGUCAAAAUUUAAUAACACUGUCUGAAAGAAAGAAAAGAAAAUGGCUGAGCAAGUGAAAUGAGGGGGAAACAGCGAGGGGAAUAUAAAUGAUAUAAAGGUUACAUUACAUUGACAGCAACCGAGUCACAUCUGUAUUCCUGCAUUAUUUAUUUAUCAAGAAGUUGAACAAAAUUACAGUUUAUUUUUAAAUGCAGUCAGGCAGCAUCAUAUUGUACAAGUUUGCAAUUACGGAUAAAACACCAGUCCAGAGUAAUACUUUAUGAGACUUCAUGAUCUAUGCAUUAAUUUUAGGUCAAAAUUCUGUGUAAUUGUCAUUUUAAAAAAAUGUAUUAAAGAAGAGGCAUAAGUGACAA